UUAAGUAAUGACGUGAAAGAGGCACCGGUUGCGACAUUAUUUAAUGAGCAAGGAGAGAAGAUGAAAGUGCUUCUCACAUUUUUGCUAGAUGUGCUGAGGUUCUUAAAAUUUGGAAUGCUAUUGGGCUACCAGGAAUGAUAGUGUAUGGAAGGGGGUACCUUAUGACAUGCAUGCGUUGUUGAGGAGGGCACUUACGUUUUGG